AUGGCCGCCAGUCCCAAGCCCCAGCUCCUCCCGGCGCUCCUCCUCCUCGCCGCUGCCGCCGCCCUUGUCGUCGCGUCCUGCCACGCGGCACGGCUACCACAGGCCGCCGGAGGUGGAGGCUUGGCGGCGGAGAAGUCGCACAGGGACGCCAGCUGCCUGGAGCUCACGCAGGUGGAGUGCCAAAUUACGCCGUGCACCAAUUACUGCUUCCGCAUCGGGCUCAACACCACGGGCUAUUGCACCUUCAAAGGCCUCAACGUCUACUGCUGCUGCCCUGUCCCGGCCGCCGACGCCGCCACCGCCGAGCUGCCGGCCUCCCUCCCCCCCUCCGGCCCUCAGGCCGAUACUACCUCGGAGAUGGAGCAGUUUACAAGCGACCUCCGGACAGGCUUCUGCGAAACAGGCUCAAACUUUCACCACACUCCACAAGGGCCAUAUGAAGACACCGUGCUAGGUCCUGAGGAUUUCCAGCAUCCAAAGGGAAGGCCAUGGACGACGCCGCUCCAGCCCUUCUCCGACGCCAUCAAGCAGGCAUCCUCCGUGGAUGAUGACGACAACCAGGGCAUCCACCGCCACGACGACACCCCGCACAUGGUCCAACUCGGCUACAACCACCUCUACCGCGCGACUGCGGCCGCGGUCGUGUUCGGCAUCGACUACAACCUCCUCUCCGGUGGAGCCACAGCCGCCACCUUCACGCUAUGCAUGCAUGCCCGUGGCCAGAUUUUCGCUGGCGUGAACAAGAUCGUGCAAAUCAGCUCGGAGAAGAAUUCACUCGAAGCCGUGCCCGUGCGUGUAGGCGGCGAGACGGAGAAGGCGGCGGACGUCGUGCCGGCGGAGACGGACCGGGCCAAGUGCGAGAUGAUGGUGCCGUGCGACGGGGAGAAGUGCACCGAGCACUGCGUCCGCAUCGGGCUGGGCAACGCGAGGGGCUUCUGCUCCUUCCACGACUUGCACUUCGAGUGCUGCUGCCCCAUGCCGCCGCCCCUGCGCGCGCGCCGCCUCUCCUCCGGCCACGUUCCCAUGGCGCCGCCUGCAAGAUCAUCGGCGCCUUUCUUCCUCCUCCUCGUUGUUCUCCUCGCCGCCGCAGGGCGCUCCGCCGGUGACGACGACGACUCUCCACCGCAGGUGCAGCCGCUGGACCCCAAGUGCCAGGAGAUGACGGAGAUGUGCACCCCGGCGACGUGCACCAAGCUCUGCCUCAGCAUAGGGCUGGGUAAAGACCCCGACGGCGGGUUCUGCACCUUCCAUGGCAUGAAGUUCUACUGCUGCUGCCCCAUACCCGCCCCCGCCCCGCCGCCCUCAAGGCUCUGA
rnacentral:rRNA from 1 species